CUAGCGACUUCAGAGUUUGAUCCUGGCUCAGGAUAAACGCUGGCGGCGUGCAUAACACAUUCAAGUCGAACGGACUUAAUUGAGAAGCUUGCUUUGAGAUUAAGUUAGUGGCGGACGGGUGAGUAACGCGUGAGCAACCUGCCUAUCAGUGGGGAAUAACGUUUGGAAACGAACGCUAAUACCGCAUAACGUAUCGAGAUCGCAUGUUUUUGAUACCAAAGAUUUAUUGCUGAUAGAUGGGCUCGCGUCUGAUUAGGUAGUUGGUGAGGUAACGGCUCACCAAGCCGACGAUCAGUAGCCGGACUGAGAGGUUGAACGGCCACAUUGGAACUGAGAAACGGUCCAG
rnacentral:rRNA from 1 species